CAAACUAGGCCCUGCUGAGAAAUUUCUCAAGGGAGUUCUUGAUAUACCUUUUGCAUUCAAGAGGGUGGAUGCAAUGCUUUACAUAUGCUGUUUUGAUUCAGACGUUGAAUACCUUUGGACAUCAUUUCAGACGCUAGAGGUAUGAGAUUGCUUUUGCCAUUAUUCCUGUAUGUAAAUGGAGCAAUUCUACUGAUAUUGUUUUGAUUCAGACGUUGAAUACCUUAGGACAUCAUUUCAGACGCUAGAGGUAUGAGAUUGCUUUUGCCAUUAUUCCUGUAUGUAAAUGCAGCAAUUCUGCUGAUAUGAUGUGUGCACUGGCACACAAGUCUAGUUAUCAACAGAUCGGUAUCCUAAAUCUUUCAUUCAACUUUCAUAUCUGUCCCAUUACUAUCUGAAGUAACUGAAGUCUAAAAGUUUGACAAUGGUUCAUAGACAUGCCCAUUCUAGUAGGGGCGGAUGUAGCACAUGAAUAUCGGGAUCAUCUGUACCUAGUACUUUCAACGCCGAGCAUAAAUUUAUGCGUAAAAAAUUGACUAAUUAUAAAGAAUAGUAGAUAUGACCCAUAAAGUUUAAAUCGUGGAUGCGCCUCUACAUUCUAGACCUCAUUUAAGCCAAAGCAAAGAUGAUAAAAGCUGAUCAUAUAACCUAGGAAUCUUAAAAGCCUUUUAUCUCUAACAUUCAAU
rnacentral:lncRNA from 1 species